UUGUUGUUAUUAAGUUUUCAAAAUUGCAGUUGAGUAUUUAACACGGAGCUGAUAAGUGAGGAAGCCACAUAGUGAAAUGAAGGUAUUAUGGCGGACAUUUUAGUUAACCUCAUUAUAAAGUCAAGCUUCAAUUAAACAAAUAAAUGAGGCUUACUGUUGUUACACUCUUAAUGGGGCGCUCACACCAAGCGUGAGUAAAAUCAUCUACUCACUUAAUUUGUGCAAAUCUAGACACGUAAAUGAACAGCAUUUGCUCGUUUCAUUCACGCAUUAACGGUAAUUUCGACGGUAAUCCCUGCCAAUUCAACCAGUGGAAUCGAGCGAUAGACAAAGGUUUUUUACAAUUUACCAGGUAAUCCGACCUCCUCACUUACUUGCCUCCAGACGAGCUCCUUUUUAUUCCGGUUUCAGUAAUUGAAAGAAAAGGUAUCAUAUAAUUCGGGGUACCCACACACCGACAUGAUCAGUUUGUCCUCCAUUUUAGAUACCAGUGUUCAAACUUCACCCGGCAAACUUUGCGCUGAUUAGUUAUUGCGAUGUGAAUAUCCGCUCAAGUUGAGACGUUUGUAGCUCCCGCCCAAAUCACGUCAUUAGCGACGCCUAGGUAAUAGUAGCAGCUAAUCAAGUCUUUGCAUUGACUUAACAUGUAAUUCGUUCAUGCGAAUGAUUUUACUCACGCUUGGUGUGUGGAGACAGUUACCAUGUUUUCUCUCUCUCUUUCUAUAUAUAUAUAUUUUUUUUUUCAAAUUUCACCUGCUUUGAAAAGAAGUGAAAUAAUAAAUCUGUACAGCAAAAUCAACCUCUGGCAAUUCUUGCCCUCAGGCUUAAACUUCAAAAACCUAUUCUGGGAGAAAAUAACAUUUCCUGACCUGCAGAGACAUAACAACCCGCAGAUUCACACCAGACCGAGGCGUUAAAACUCCUGCUGCCGAAACACUGCUAUCGCCUCCAACACAUGAUGAGAUUCAUUAUUGGAAAAAUCUGUAAUCACAAAAAAAGGUGAUAAAAUAUUGUGUCAGAGAUAUUUUUUAUCGAUUCAUUUAAAUUGAGGCUAAAUCUGACACUGAAACCACACCACCAGAAUAUAUUUCUCAUUAGCAACUGCAGGCUGUGAAGCAGCGCAGGUCAAACUCUAGUGUCUUUUCAUCUGUCUGAGACAAAGGUGAAGACUCCCACC